rnacentral:rRNA from 1 species
AUUGAACGCUGGCGGCAUGCCUUACACAUGCAAGUCGAACGGCAGCACGGGUGCUUGCACCUGGUGGCGAGUGGCGAACGGGUGAGUAAUAUAUCGGAACGUACCUUAUUGUGGGGGAUAACGCAGCGAAAGCUGUGCUAAUACCGCAUAAUCCCUUAGGGGGAAAGCGGGGGACCGUAAGGCCUCGCGCAAUUAGAGCGGCCGAUACCUGAUUAGCUAGUUGGUGAGGUAAAGGCUCACCAAGGCGACGAUCAGUAGCUGGUCUGAGAGGACGAUCAGCCACCCUGGGACUGAGACACGGCCCAGACUCCUACGGGAUGCAGCAGUGUGGAAUUUUUGACAAUGGGGGCAACCCUGAUCCAGCAAUGCCGCGUGAGUGAAGAAGGCCUUCGGUUUGUAAAGCUCUUUUGUCAGGGAAGAAACAGCAGCUCUAACACAGUAUGCGAAUGACGGUACCUGAAGAAUAAGCACCGGCUAACUACGUGCCAGCCGCCGCCGUAA